CUGCACAGGCUGCUGGUGCUUUCGCGUUCACUUUGCACUUCAUCGGCGCUUUCGGUUGGCCUUCAUCCACUGCCAGCCACUUCACUUGUCACAGAUACCACGACCCGCGCACCUCUGCUUCUACCUCAUUCGCAUGGCCGCGCGUCUACUUCAAUCUCUCCUCUAACUAGUGAUGAUCUGAGCUGAAGCUCGAUCCGUCUCAUCAAGGAUCCGCUCGACUCGCAGCAGUUCCUCGGAUCUUCGGCCGUGCCUGGCCUGCGGCUCCCUUCAUCCUUUGUCAGAUUACAGGACAGGUCAGAAGUAUGGAUCCAGAGGAUAUAUCGUAUCAAUACUUGCGAGAAAUCACGGAUUGUUUCUCUGAGGAGCGGAAACUUGGUCAAGGAGCAUUUGGAGUUGUUUACAAGGGAGUGACUAGAAACGGAGAUGAUGUUGCUGUGAAGUUGCUUCCCAAAUCCAGUCUAGACUAUGGGCCGUUAAGAAAUGAGUUCUACAACCUCAGGGAGCUUAAUCAUCAGAACAUUGUAAAGGUUCUGGGGUAUUGUUUUGAAACAGAGCAGAAACCAUUUAUGCAAGAUGGGAUUAAGGUGUUUGUUAAUGAGGUACGUGGAGCACUAUGCUUGGAGUAUAUGCACAAUGGCAGUCUUCAACAACAUCUUUCUGAUGAGUUUUCUGGACUUGAAUGGCACACACGGUUCAAAAUAAUCAAGGAGACUUGUGAGGGUCUAAAGUAUAUUCAUGAACUGGAAGAACCUAUUUGUCACUUGGACCUAAAGCCUGACAACAUAUUGCUAGAUAAGGACAUGGUGCCAAAGAUUGCAGAUUUUGGUUUGUCCAGGAUCUUUGGAAACGAAUCAGCACGAACGGCACAUGGUCCUUAUGGAACACCAGGGUAUCAGCCACCAGAAUACAUCAACAGUGGUGAAAUAUCAAGAAAAUUUGACAUAUUUAGCUUGGGUGUCGUAAUGAUAAGGAUAGUGGCAGGACCCAAGGGAUACCCCCAAUGUCUAGAUAUGUCUUCGGACGAGUUUAUUGAUCAAGUACAAAACAACUGGAGGAACAGAUUGCAAGAGACAUACAGUAAUGCUUCCUUGGCUGCAGCAUAUUGCCACCAAGUAAAGACAUGCAUUCUAAUAGCAUUGUUAUGUGUGGAGGAAGAUAGGCAAAAAAGGCCCAACAUAGGGGAAAUCACUAAGAAGCUGAAUGAGAUUGAAACUGCCAUUGGCGAGAGGAUGGAAUUGCACAAUAAGAAGAACAUAGACAUGAGAAAAGAAUCAGAGGAUGGAAUUCGUUUCAGUGAGCUGGAAUUUGUUGAUGCACGAGAAGCAUCGUCAGAUGUAGUAGAAGAAAUCAUUGUUGGGAGAACAGAAGAGAAAGGGAAAAUAAUUGCUUCUUUGCUUGAGGGUAUGUCAGAAAAGAUCAUCAUCCUUCCUAUAUAUGGUAUUGGAGGAAUCGGCAAGACAACUUUUGCAAGAUUGAUUUAUGAUGAUCCAAAUUUUAAAUGUCAUUCUCGUGUUUGGGUUGAUGUGUCCCAAAGAUUUGAUUUGAAUAAAAUUCGUGAGUCUAUGAUUUCACAACUAUCUGGAGAAGAAAGCCAAGCUAUUGAAAGACAGAUACUACAUAGUUGCCUCACAAAACUACUUUCUUGUAAGAAGAUUCUGAUUGUUUUAGAUGACCUGUGGGAGGAUGAUCAAUUCCACCUGCAGGAGUUGAAGGAUAUGCUAUAUUGUGCUGAUAGCAACAUAAUUAUUUUAGUAACAACACGCAGUGAACGUGUUGCUGGGAGAAUCUGUACUAACCUUCAACCAUACAAGAUAUUACCCUUGACAAAUGACAUAUGCUGGGACAUAAUAAAACAAAGAAGUGCUUUUGACACUAGAGAUGACAAAAAUUAUUUGACGGAUAUUGGAAGGGAGAUUGCCCAGAAGUGUGGAGGUGUGGCUUUAGCAGCUCAAUCUCUGGGCUACACUUUGCGGUCCUUGAAUUUUGAUCAAUGGAUUAUGGUGAAAGACAGUGAUACCUGGAAUGAACCUAUUUCAAAUGAUGCAUCUUUGUCAAAUCAUGUUCUUGCAUCUUUGAAGUUAAGUUAUAGCCAUAUGGAUUCAAGCUUGAAGUCAUGCUUUACCUACUGCGCAAUCUUUCCAAAAGGCCACAAGAUAGUUAAAGAUGAUUUAAUUUAUCAAUGGAUUUCUUUGGAUUUCAUCAAGCCAACAAAACUACUCUCAAAUAUGCAGCUUUGUGAGAACCAUAUUGUGCAGCUGCUGGGACUUUCUUUCUUUCAACAUUCAGUGUCAUCCACGGUUUCCAACCGUAUCCGAUCUGUUUACAUCCCUAAGGCCGAUAGAGAGGACGAUGUGGAUGUUACAGUGUUCACUAUGCACGAUCUGGUGCAUGACUUAGCAAGAUCAAUCAUGCUUGACAAAAUUCUAGAUGCUAGCAAACAAUGCAAUACUAGGGGAAGUAAAUUCCAAUUUGCGUUACUCAAUGAUUGUACCAAGUCACUGAAGUCAUUCACACAAUAUCCUACCACGAUAAAAGCGCUGCGUUUUUCUGGUACGGAUGAAACUGUGCUCCAUCAUGUGUCAUUUUCGUCGGCUAAGUACCUCUGUGUCUUGGAUUUAAGUCAGUGCUCUAUACGGAUGUUGCCAUAUUCUAUUGGUAAUUUAAGGCAUCUGAGAUAUCUUAAUGCUCCAAGGGUCAAACAUCGGGCCAUUCCCAAUUGUAUCACAAAGCUGACAAAAUUAAUUUACCUCAGCCUUCGUGGAUCUUCUGAGAUCUUGGUAGUGCCAGAAUCAAUUGGAGAAUUGAAGGGUUUGAUGUAUCUUGAUUUGUCAGGUUGUUCCAGACUAGAAAAACUGCCGGUGUCAUUUGGCAUGCUAACAAAGUUGGUGCAUCUCGAUAUGUCAUAUUGUUCUCAUGCUACCGGUGUAUCAGAGUACUUAGAGAGCCUCACCAACCUUGAAUAUCUGAAUUUAUCGGGGCGCUGGAGCAGCAGUAUAGAAAAGAGACCACUACCUGAAGCUUUGAGCAGACUCACCGAUCUGAAGUAUUUAAACUUAUCAGGUUCUUCGUUCUUUGUAGCAGAUCAUGAUAUAAUACAAGCAUUGGGUAGCCUUACCAAACUCCAAUGUUUGAAUUUGUCACAAUGUUCACUCUUUGCUAGAGCUGACUCGGAUCUCUCAGGGAUGUCAGAAGCCAUGACAAAUCUCACCGAGCUCCGUUACUUGAAUUUAUCAUGGUGCUCAACCGUCUCACGAUAUGAAGAACUUCCCAUUUUUCUUGAGUGUAUCAGUAACCUUCCAAACCUAGAGCAUCUGGAUUUGUCUAAUACAGAACUUAAGGAAGCUCCUUACUGUAUUUGUAGCCUAGGAAAGUUACAUGCGCUGGAUCUCUCGUACUGCCGCAAUCUGCAGAGUGUACCAGCAGAUCUGCUUCAAAUGGAUAGUCUGAAGUUUCUGCAUCUGAAGGGUUGCUAUAGGCUAGAACUAUUGAAGCCGCAAGGACUCACCAUAAUUGCAUUACCACAGGUUCAGUUCCAAAGUGGCUCAGUUUCUCAUUAUGACUACUCGAGCAGCAACCUUGAUCUUCUUCAAGAUGUAAAUCAAGCUGACCUGGUGAUAAGCAGACUUGAAAACGUGAAGUCCGUGCAAGAGGUGCGGAGUAUAAGACUAAUGGAAAAAGGAAGAAUGAAGGAACUGCAACUCAACUGGACAAGAGAUUCUGAGAGGUUUGUUGAGGACGUGGAAGUGUUGGGAGAACUAGUCCCCCCAAUAACUUUAGAGGAGUUAUAUAUAGAUGGUUACAGUAGUGUAAGAUUUCCUGAAUGGUUUACUGGUAUUGCCGAUCAUCUCCCUAAUCUUGGUUGGAUCUCCUUGUCCAAUCUGCCCAACUGCAACGCACUGCCACCACUAGGCCAACUACCUAAUCUGGAACGGCUGAACUUUAGUCAAAUGAGUGGCAUUUCGAAAAUUGAUGGGGACCUGUGCGGCACCAGAAGGCCACCAUUUCCUCGACUGAAGCAUUUUUCCCUAUGCCAAAUGGAAAGUCUCGAAGUGUGGUACACAACGUACUCUCAUGGCGGGGAUGGUGUGAGCAAGUUUAUGUUCCCCAACCUCCGUGUAUUGCAAAUCAAUGAUUGCCCCAACUUGAGGCUGAAACCAUGCCCACAUAAAGCUGAGGAGCGAUGGUCCAUAUCGGGGAGAUGUGAUGGUGUAAUAUCCUCAUGGGAGGAGACUAAUGGCGGAUCCAGCGGUGGGGCGGGAGGGGCUCUAGACCUCCCUACCGCCGUCGGACCCCCGGAGCUCCCCCUAAGAACCCCCAACAAUUUUUUGCCAAGAAUGAACUGUGAGCAGAGGCUGAAGUUAUCAAGAGGUGGAAGAAAGCCCCACCUAACAAUUAUCCUAAAUCCACUUACUACUGUUUUCUUCCGCUCCUCUGCUCCGGUAACUACUCUGGAUGUAUCUGACUGCAAGGUGCCUAUGCAUCAGUGGAGGCUGCUUCACCACCUCCCUGCCCUCUCUGAAUUAAAAAUCUACGAAUGCAGUGAUCUGAGCAGCUCACCAGAGAUCACGCAAGCACUCUCCUCCCUCCAGAGGCUAACUCUGACGAAUCGGAAACAGCCAGAAACAGAACUUCCAAAUUGGUUGGAUCAGAUUGCAUCACUUAAGAAGUUGACAGUAACAGGGAGAUACGAGAUGCAGGCAUUGCAGGGUUUCCAUAUGGGGCAUCUCAGUUGUUUACAGUCACUACAUCUGGUGGAUAUUGGAAGCAUGACAGCGCUGCCUCAAUGGGUGGGAGACCUCAUCUCUCUCCAAGAUUUGCAUAUCUUGGACUGUUGGAACCUGAAUGAUUUACCAGAGAGCAUCGGGGGCCUCACCUCUCUUCACAAACUCGCCAUCACACGUUGCAACAGCAUCACAUCUUUACCAAAGAGCAUACAACAACUAACGAAGCUCAAAACGCUAAUAAUUAGUGGCUGCGAUGAACUAGCGAAGUGGUGUGAAACUGAGGAGAACAAGACAUUGCUCGCUCACACCAAAGUAAUAAAGAGAUUUUGAUUGUACUGCUAGCAUGACAGACAUAAACGUUUGCAAGGGCCAGCCCGGCUGCUUUUCAAAGAUCUCUCUGCUUUUGUUGAUAUUCAUUUCUGUCGUCUUCUCCUACUCUGGUCAACGAACUCGCGGGUUACCCAGAGGACGAUGGCGCGCCAUUGGAUCCUCAGUGGAGCCAGCAGCAGCCUCGCAUGUAGUUGGACCUUGAUAGUAGGUCAGAUUGCCGAGGCUGCCGACAGCGGCGUGGCUGACAAGAAAAUGAUAUUCUCAUACUGUCGGAUCCAUGAUCAGAUUUCCAUCCGGCCGUCAUUCUCAGGCAUCAGAGCCAGAGUUAAGAGUUAGUGACUGUUCGCGGAAGCGCUCCGUCUCUCCCAGAUCCCACGCGCCACGCCACCGGACCUGGGCACGCCGAAAUCAGCAAGAAGCCGAGAAGGCAUUAGCAGAGUCCUUAGAAGCACAUGCGAGCAAGCUCUAACGGAAACACAUUUGAGCGCGCUCUCGCGAGGUGCGCCGCCGCGCGACCAGCUGCCGCGUGCAUGGCCGAUGCACCUCCUUCGCGGCGCCGUUGAAGGUUCCUUGUGGCCUGGGCAGCAGAUGCGGUGGCAACAUAUUUAGGGCGUGCAGCCAUGCUGCAACAGUGCCCGGUACGCUACACCACAGCAAGCAGGCGGGACCGAUGGAGAAGCUCAUCUACGUCACCUGAGUCAACAACAGUAGUUGAUUAUGAGUAAAACGUGUCACCAGUCCGCUCCUUUCUGCAAGAGAAGGAUGCCACGAUCUGUCCUGUGAAAUUAAUAUUCCCCUGUUGCGGCAGUAACCGUUUCCCAGAGAAUUCUUUGGAUUGUUCUCCUGUUGUGGUAGAUGGUGCUUCCCCUCCUGAUUCAGAGCUCAGGUAAAUGCUAGAUACACUGUCACCAGAGGAAUAUCAAAAGGCCGUACAGAGAACUGUGAUGUCCUUAGGAAAUCACAGCUCCUGCUUUGACAGUGAUGAGGUCUAAGAAUACACUGAAGGUGAUGUCCAUUAGUGCCCUAAGAUUGGUGUGCUCAUGUGCUGAUCACAUAUGAAGUGCACUGCUGAAUUUAUCUUCUUCUGUAAAUCUUGUUUAUGAUCUCAUACCAAACUCGCCCAUUAUUCUA